AGUGAACGCUGGCGGUAGGCCUAACACAUGCAAGUCGAACGGCAGCACAGGAGAGCUUGCUCUCUGGGUGGCGAGUGGCGGACGGGUGAGGAAUACAUCGGAAUCUACUCUGUCGUGAGGGAUAACGUAGGGAAACUUACGCUAAUACCGCAUACGACCCACGGGUGAAAGCAGGGGAACUUCGGACCUUGCGCGAUUGAAUGAGCCGAGGUCGGAUUAGCUAGUUGGCGGGGUAAAGGCCCACCAAGGCGACGAUCCGUAGCUGGUCUGAGAGGAUGAUCAGCCGAACUGGAACUGAGACACGGUCCAGACUCCUACGGGAGGCAGCAGUGGGGAAUAUUGGACAAUGGGCGCAAGCCUGAUCCAGCCAUACCGCGUGGGUGAAGAAGGCCUUCGGGUUGUAAAGCCCUUUUGUUGGGAAAGAAAUCCAGCUGGCUAAUACCCGGUUGGGAUGACGGUACCCAAAGAAUAAGCACCGGCUAACUUCGUGCCAGCAGCCGCCGUAA
rnacentral:rRNA from 1 species